rnacentral:ribozyme from 1 species
UUAUUCUAAAUUUCUCUCAAAUGUGUUUGUUUCAUAUUUAUCUAUUUCAGGUUAACAUAGGCUCUCCUCCUCCUACAUCUACUCAAUACGUCCUCGUCGUACGGAACGGUCACAUGUCUCUCAAUAAUCCUAGCUUGGGUGUACGAGGAAAUUCAACCCUUGGGCGGAUGAGUUGCAUGGCUAAAUUGAGGAAG